rnacentral:rRNA from 1 species
UGGUGCGAUCAUACCAGCACUAAUGCACCGGAUCCCAUCAGAACUCCGCAGUUAAGCGCGCUUGGGCUAGAGCAGUACUAGGAUGGGUGACCCCCUGGAAGUCCUCGUGUUGCACCCCU